rnacentral:rRNA from 1 species
CAAUAGCGUAUAUUAAAGUUGUUGCAGUUAAAAAGCUCGUAGUUGGAUUUGUGGUUCGUCCCGCCGGCUGGGUCAUUGACUUUUGCUGUGCUGGUCGUCCAUCCUUGGGUGGAAUCUGUGUGGCAUUAGGUUGUCGCGCAGGGGAUGCCCAUCGUUUACUGUGAAAAAAUUAGAGUGUUCAAAGCAGGCUUAUGCCGUUGAAUAUAUUAGCAUGGAAUAAUGAUAUAGGACCUUGGUACUAUUUUGUUGGUUUGCGCACUGAGGUAAUGAUUAAUAGGGACAGUUGGGGGUAUUCGUAUUCCAUUGUAAGAGGCGAAAUUCUUGGAUUUUUGGAAGACGAACUACUGCGAAAGCAUUUACCAAGGAUGUUUUCAUUAA